UAGGAUGGUGUUCUGCAUAUUUAGAGCGUAUGCCUACCCCGAGUAGGAAACCCAGCAAGUAUGCGUCACCUCCACCUUGAACUUUAGGGUUCAAGGGUAACGACAUGCAGCGGCAUCUUCGGAGCAUCU
rnacentral:sRNA from 1 species